AGGGGGCAAAAGAAAAAAAUUUCCGGAAAACUUCAAAAUUUCCAUGGAAAUAGAAGUCAAAUCAACUGAAAACAAUCUAAAAUGCAUUUUGCUGCAUUGAUAAUCAUAUUUAGCAUGUUUAGGCUUGUUUGAAAAUGUUUUGAAUUUUUAUGAAAUUCCAAUGUACAGCACCGCAAAAAAUAUUUUUCGCAAAAAAUAAAAUUUUCGUGAAUACUUAGAUAUUUUGGAAACUAAUGAUGGCAAAACAACUGGACAGGUGUAUAAUGCAUUAUAAAACACUUUUUUCAUUAAAAUGUUGAAACCAUGGCUCGUAAUUUCAAUUUUUAUACUUUUUUAUUUUUUUUUUUGGUCAGAGUCGAGGGACAUAAACUUCAAAAAAUAUUUGCAACGGCCUAAAUAUUAAAUAUCAAAUUGAAUAAGUAACAUGUCAAAACAAUCGAUUAUAUAUGAUUUUUUCAAAUGAGAUAAACUGCCUGUUUGAAUUCGGCGCAGUUUAAUGUGGAGUUUAGUGAGCCCCGAACGACCCCUCUCUGACAGCAGCCAGCUGCCACUCGUCGAGCGAUACGAACGGGAGAAAACGUCAACACAAAGGAAAAAGUGGCCGACGAUUGCCGCGCGAGGCCGGCAAGUUUGUCGGUUCGGUUCCAGAUUCUUGCCAAGUCCGCAAGAAUAACCGCGUGAGGGGCGCUGAACGUCCAGCAGCAGUUCCGCGGACCGGCAGAAUACUACGGAAACGGCGACUCCGUCCCAGGUGCAGUAUCAUUCGCGGUGAAUCCGGGCACGGACUACUAGAUGAAAAACGUGAGUUGCAAAGUGCAAUGGCUUCGACAGCGUUGGCGUUGACGUAGGACUACGCAUUGAUUUGUUUUUCUACUUAAUUCUAAGCAUGCAAAAGAUCAUGCAAUAUCGUUAUGAAUUGAAUUUAAUUUGUUAUUUGCUUCAGGAAACCUUCCUCUACACGGAACUGUUGUUUCUUUCGCGGGAUUUCUUAUUUAAGGAGGUUUACACUAAAUCUUAUAGCUACGGUUAUGUGAAACCAGCCUAAA